rnacentral:rRNA from 1 species
AGCAGUAGCCACGGUAAUACAGAGGGUGCGAGCGUUAAUCGGAUUUACUGGGCGUAAAGCGUGCGUAGGCGGCUUUUUAAGUCGGAUGUGAAAUCCCUGAGCUUAACUUAGGAAUUGCAUUCGAUACUGGGAAGCUAGAGUAUGGGAGAGGAUGGUAGAAUUCCAGGUGUAGCGGUGAAAUGCGUAGAGAUCUGGAGGAAUACCGAUGGCGAAGGCAGCCAUCUGGCCUAAUACUGACGCUGAGGUACGAAAGCAUGGGGAGCAAACAGGAUUAGAUUCCCCCGUAGUCCCUGUCUCUUAUAC